ensembl:lncRNA
ACAUUGGUAUACUACAUUGGGAGUGAUGCAUGUGAGGAAGGAAAGUAGAUUUAAAUCACUAGUUUCAGCUGGAGCCUCAUAGGAGUCUCUCUGACUGAGAAUAAACACUCAAAUCAUCUUGGAUUCAUUAUCAACUGAUCUUUUCAUUUUCCUUUCCUUCCUCGCCCUACUGGAGUCACAAAGGCUUUCUUUGUUUCUCUAUUUCUGCUGAGCUCUCUGUGUCCUGCGCAACUUCAUUUGUUUGCUUCUUUCUUUUUUUUGUUCUCUCUUCUCUCAAUGUAUUGAUGGUCUAAAAUGAUCUCAUCUACCCACACAAUCUCAUACGUUGACCACAUGUGGCUUACAGUAACACGCCCAUGCACGCAUACACAUGAAUACACACACACACACACACACACACACACACACACACACACACACAAGGAGACAGUUCAUGCUGCGCAAGAGACAGCUCAGCACACAACUACCUUCCACCUUCAGCAGAAGACCUGGCCCAGAUGUCUGAAUGUAGAACUCAAGAAGAUCCACUUGUCAUGGCCAGAAGCAAAGGAAGCAGCUGGAAAGACCUGCAGAGUUGGGAAACAUUAGUACAAGCCCCAUGUUCCUCCAUAAAUGAAGUGAAUUAAGUGAGUAAGUCAGUCAGUUAAAGUCUUUAGCUGUCCUCCUACGUGGCUGGCUUGCCCCUCUGUCUGGCUGUGGUAUAGAUGGAUGAGCUGCAGUGGGAGGUCCGUCAGCAGGCUCAGCAAAGAAUCACCCAUCUUGCAUGCGUAUGGACUUUGAUGUUGGUUCCAAACUUUUGGAUACCCUUUACCAUGCUUUGACUGCUUUUGAAUGGAUUUACUUGGAGGGGUCUGUGCACAAAAAAAGGGUUCCCUCUCUCCAAAAAAAACGUUGACUUUCAUUUCUUAGAUUCAUAACAUAUUAUCUAAUGUUUUUUUUCCCAUAAGCCUUUUUUUCUGCAAAAUCACACUCAUCCAACCUUAAGCAAGCUUAAAGCCUACUGCUCAAAGAGAGGGCAAAGAGGGAUGGGCUAUCAAUUGAUCAUAGCGAAUACAGAAUCAGCUAAUUAGCUAGCUAGCUAGCAGCGGUGUAAAGUACUUAAGUAAAAAUUCUUGAAAGUACUACUUAAGUCGUUUUUGGGGGGUAUCUGUACUUUACUAUUUAUAUAUUUGGCAACUUUUACUUCUACUUCUUUACAUUCCUAAAGACAAUCAUGUGCUUUUUACUCCAUACAUUUUCCCUGACACCCAAAAGUAAAUUUUGACAGGGAAAUGUUCCAAAUUCACAAAUUCAUCAAGAGAACAUCCCUGGUCCUUCCUAGUGCCUCUGACCUGGCAGACUAACUAAACACAAAUGCUUCAUUUGUAAAUUUUGUCUGAGUGUUGGAGUGUGCCCCUGGCUAUCGUUCAAUAAAAAAUAAAUUGCACAAUCUGGUUUGCUUACUAUAAGGAAUUUGAAAUGUUUUACACUUUUACUUUUGAUUCUUAAGUAUAUGUGAAACCAAAUACUUUUAGACUUUUACUCAAGAGGUAUUUUACUGGGUGACUUUCAUUUUUACUUUUCAUUUUCUAUUCAUUAAGGUAUCUUUACUUUUACUCAAGUAUGACAAUUGAGUACUUUUUCC